GCGAGAGUGGCGGAAUUGGCAGACGCACCAGACUUAGGAUCUGGCACCGAAUGGUAUAGGAGUUCAAGUCUCCUCUCUCGCACCA
rnacentral:tRNA from 1 species